CCCCCCCACAACCACUCGGCUCGCCCCCCGCCCGCAACGGAAGGGGGUGGAGCUUCCUGCGGGCGGGCGCCAAUGAGAGCCUUCCAUGGGCCGCAUGCAGAUGACGACACCGCGUAGCGUGGGCUGGGGGAGCGGGAGGGGGCAGAGAGGGCGCGCGGGGGAGCAAGUAGCAGCCAAUGGCCGCAAAGUGCCGCGGGAUGGCUUGCACAUUUUGCGCGCGAGGGCAGGGGACCUUGGGGUGCGAACGUCCAAUGGGAUCGCAGGGCGCGCGGCUUGGUGCGGACGGAGGGGAAGGCAAAAUGGCGGCGGCGGUGGGGGGGGGGGGUCGCGGCACCCCAGGACAGAAGGUGGGGUUUGGGGGAAAGCAGCCUCAGCGCUGCGGCAGCGCCGUGCCUGGGAGCGGCGUCACCGUUUCCCGGCUGUAUUCUGGUGCAGCGCUGCACGGGUGAACGCAGUUAGCCCGCGGGCUGCAAAUCCACAGAGCGCACCUGAGAUCCUGCAGGAAAGGAGAGGCACCGUGCACCGUGCAGUCAGCGUGUGGCUGGGCUCGGAUUUAGGAGCACGAGGGCGGGGAGACGGGAGGUGCAGCGGGAAAGGAGCGGGGCUGAGGCGCUGACCUCGGAACGGGAGCACUGCCCCGUGCGUGUGAAGAUCAGGGGGCACGAACCGCGCUCCCAGCGCUGAGCAAGGCCGGCGUGCAGCAGCCGCUCCACCCAGUGCAGAGUACGGCUGAGAUCCCUGCUCUGCCAGCUCCCACCCGGCGCUGGCUGCGAGCAGGGGCUGCCCGGGCAGUUCUGCGGUUUUCCUUUUUUUUCUAAAGCACGAGCAGAAUUUCAGCGGGACCUAAGAAUAGUCCUGCUGGCACUUGGAAAUUAAACAGCGUUCCGAUAUGCAACUAUGCUUUGCACAAUGGGUGCACGGCGGGGGAAGGCAGCCCGGAGCAACAGUGAGUCAGUACAGGGAGGAGGGCUCUGGCCAAUGACUCACUGCAUUAGAAAUUGAAGGCUGUUAACACACUUGGCUGAAAUAGCCCAUUUACCGUACAGUGGAAAAAUUAAGGCCCAGCAGACUGGUCAUGGAGGAGUAUUUUGUUUUUGUUCUUUUUUCCCUCCUAAAUGACGGAUCCCAACAUUACUUUCUGAAGCCAGUUUGGUGUGUUGCAGCUCAAGGGAAGUGGGCAGAGCGAAGACUGUCAGAAGCUUGCUUCCUAUUCAUGAUAAUGGCAGUUGUUACUUAUGCAUCUGCACACCCUGAAGUCAGAAAACGGUGCAUUUCUAAUGUGGCCCUUCCCUUUCCCCCUGAGCAGCAGUACAAACUGAUCCCGGUUAAAAAUAACCCCAGAUUCCUGAUACUGAACAAAAGAAGGCAAUUGCACAACUCCUCUUGAAACUGUACCGCCUCAUCAGGAUUUGGGAUGUCAUCAACUCAGGAGUGAGCGGCAGUGUGGCCAUUCCCCAUCAGUCCGAGACAGACAGAAGGACACACCUAUGAGACCACUGCUGUCAUGACGGUUUAAAUACUGCCUAAUUAUGUUGCAACUUUUACUCCCAGGUUUCUGUAGAGAAGAUUGCUGAUGCUGUGAGAUCUCUUCUCAAAACACCCCUGGGGGAAAGAAGGCUGAAACCACCGCAAGAGAAAUGAACCAGAGCCAUAUUCAGUUAGCCUGAGUUCCACCCACAUCCCUGUGACUGGAGAUUCCUGUUAGCUGGUUCCAAGUGCUUAUCUGCAGACGAGAUCUCAGCUCUUGGUUGUUCAAGGUUUCGUCGCCAUCUCAUGCGCAGGAGAUGAGCUGAAAAGCACAGGGUGGUUCAGCAGCAAGCUGGCGUAUGUGGGAGUGGGAGAGCUGUGAGAUGCUUAUCAGUGCUGUGUCUGCACUGGCAGUUUUUACCACGUUAGCCUGCAGCACCUGUGUCCUCAGCCGUAACAUCUCAGUUAUAGCCUCCAGAAGUAUUUCCCUAGAAGACUGAAUGCAGAAGAAAGUCAAGUGUAUGUCAGUUCCCUUUGAGGUUGACCACCAGGGAACCUCAGCAGACAGAUCACCUCAAAAUCUUCAGACCAAGAGGAGUGAGUGGCAGAGCUCACACACAUGGGACGGCCUCACUACCAGGAACAGGAGGCAGAGUCCUACCACGACACCACAAACUGCUCCAGCAAUCAUCCCAAUAUUUUGGGCAUCUGUUGUCCGGAAAAUAAACAGAUUAACAGGUAAACUCUCAGUAUGGGCCAUAUAGGCACAUUCUAUUUCACACCAGAAAUUAUACUACCAUGUAUAAAUCAGAAGUUAAAUUACUUAUUUAAGCGUCUCCAUGCAGUUGAACCAAUUUAUCCUAAAUAUUGUUUCUAAACAUGAGACAAUACUGAGAAAAGCGUUCAAUUCUAGAAGGGUGGGAUCACACAAGCUAUGCUCUCAGCUGUGAGUCACAACUGAAAUGGGGAGGAAAAAUCCUUAUGUAAGAGCCCAGAACCACAAAAAGCAUAAUAGAGGCAGACAGCACAACCCACGCUCAAGGAAAAGUACCAAACAAUUUUCUAAAGGCAGGAGAGUGAACUACAGAUAUUUCCCCAUGAAGUAUGAAUCCUGAAAUGAUCGCUGUCUACUCACAGAAUGAAUUAUCAAUUUUGGGGAAAAAAGGGACCCGAGGAGGACAAAGAGGAUGGGAGAAAGGAAAACUGUGCUUUUCCAAUACAAGGCAUUUUUCAUCCAAAAUAGGGAAAUUAAUGAAACAACACUUCCCAAUGUGUCUGAGCCCUUGGCUGAACCUGCAUGAAACCUUUUGAUAAGAGUGGUUAGGUUGGGUUUGGCUGUAAGUUGUUUCCUUAGGGCUGGUCCCUGUGGAGGCUUUAGCAAAUCAAAAUGAGGUUUUAAACCAAUUCAGUUCAAUUGACAUGAAAGCUGCCAGGACACUUUUACUUCGGAUGCCUGAGGGGAGCAGGUUUUCCUUGCUGCAUGACCAUAAUGCAGCUACGUCAAGCCUGGCUGGGCAGAUACAUUCCAAAGCUAUGGAAUCUCCACAGAAGAGAUCUCUGUCAGCAGUCAUUUAUUACAACAAUUCCGGCUCCUGCUGAUCUCCCCUGAGAUCUGCACAUAAAAACCUUCCAAACUGCAUUGUUUGUUUGGAUUUGCUGUCAAUGACUGUGCUCGACUCCACCCUUUUCCUUGCACGCAUAUGCAAAGACAUAAUACUAAGAUAUGUACACACCUUUGAUGUGAUUAAUCAUGUAGAUACGAAUUUUAUUCCCUACUGUUUGGGCCAAAUUGAUUACAUCUGGAUUAAAACCAAGCUGUACCCAAAGUCACUUUUUCACUCUGCACAUUACUUCCUGUCAGUCAGCCUUUCUGCCUGGAGAUAGCUUGCUGUCUCAAGCACAACAAAUAGUUUGGAACUGCAAUGAUGGACUAUCCAUAGAGAUUUUAUACUGAGCAGUAAUCUCAUGCAGUCCUUCCAGCCUGAACUAACUAACAGCUGGAUGCUCAGCAAACAUCUCACCUGUUUGGUGUUUUUUUUUUCCCCCCUCUGGUAAUAUGUUGGUCAUUCUCAAAAUCAGAAUUCCUAACAGACCAAAACAUUUGAGCCCAAAUAGCGUAUUUACCACUCUGGGUUAUACAGAGUACUGCUGAGCAAGUGAGAACUGUGCCAUGUGACUAAAGUACAAAAGAGCAAAGGUGUGGUGCAGAGUUCACCGCUGAAGUGGGUCAGCUGAGGACCUGCAUUGCUCAUAUAGAGGUGAGAAUACCAGUUACGUGCAAU